rnacentral:rRNA from 1 species
UGGCCUUGACAUUGAUAGAAUUCUGUAGAGAUACGGAAGUGCCUGCUUGCAGGAACUUGAAAACAGGUGCUGCACGGCUGUCGUCAGCUCGUGUCGUGAGAUGUUGGGUUAAGUCCCGCAACGAGCGCAACCCUCGUAUUUAGUUGCUAACAGUUUGGCUGAGCACUCUAAAUAGACUGCCCUCGCAAGGGGGAGGAAGGUGAGGACGACGUCAAGUCAUCAUGGCCCUUACGGCCAGGGCUACACACGUGCUACAAUGGUGCAUACAGAGGGACGCAAUACUGCGAAGUGGAGCAAAUCCCUAAAAUGUAUCCCAGUUCGGAUUGUAGUCUGCAACUCGACUACAUGAAGUUGGAAUCGCUAGUAAUCGUGGAUCAGCAAUGCCACGGUGAAUACGUUCCCGGGUCU